CCUACGGGUGGGCUGCAGUGGGGAAUAUUGGGCAAUGGGGGAAACCCUGACCCAGCGACGCCGCGUGAGGGAAGAAGGCCUUAGGGUCGUCAACCUCUGUUGUGUGGGAAGAAGAGCGUGACGGUACCACACGAGGAAGUCCCGGCUAACUACGUGCCAGCAGCCGCGGUCAUACGUAGGGGCCGAGCGUUGUCCGGAUUUACUGGGCGUCAAGGGCGCGUAGGCGGUCAUUUAAGUCAGCGGUGAAAUGGUUUGGCUUAACCGGAUCAUGCGGUUGAAACUGGAUGACUGGAGUGCUGGAGAGGCAAGUGGAAUUCCCAGUGUAGCGGUGAAAUGCGUAGAUAUUGGGAAGAACACCGGUGGCGAAGGCGACUUGCUGGCCAGCAACUGACGCUGAGGCGCGAAAGCCAGGGGAGCAAACG
rnacentral:rRNA from 1 species